UAGUAAACCUUGAUUUUGUAGC
rnacentral:miRNA from 1 species